GCCUCCUGCAUAAAUAUAGGAGGUCCAGCCUGCCCAGUGACCAAGUUAAACGGCCGCGGUACCCUAACCGUGCGAAGGUAGCGCAAUCACUUGUUCUUUAAAUGAGGACUAGUAUGAAUGGCAUCACGAGGGUUACACUGUCUCCCUUUUCCAGUCAGUGAAACUGAUCUCCCCGUGAAGAAGCGGGGAUAAAAAUAUAAGACGAGAAGACCCCAUGGAGCUUUAAACUCAAUAUCAACUGCCACCACACACACCACAUUAAAUAGGCAGAUCUGAUUAUUAGUUUUCGGUUGGGGUGACCGCGGAGCAAAAUAAAACCUCCACAAUGAAUGAUUUGCCUCUAAUCUAAGAGCUACAACUCCAAGAAUCAAUAAAUUGACAUAAAUUGAUCCAAAUAAUUUGAUCAACGAACCAAGUUACCCUGGGGAUAACAGCGCAAUCCACUUCAAGAGCUCCUAUCGACAAGUGGGUUUACGACCUCGAUGUUGGAUCAGGGUAUCCCAGUGGUGCAGCCGCUACUA
rnacentral:rRNA from 1 species